UUUUUGAUCAUUGGAUGAACUUCAUGAAUGCUAGAUCUACACUGUCCAUCACUGACCACAAGAAACCUAUCAAGUGGACUAGAGGUCAGGCACAGUCUUCUGUACAAGAAGAUGGAAGCUCGUGUGGAGUGUUUGUAUUAAUGAAUGCAGAAGCUAUACUCUCGAAUGUUCCACCAACGCUUAUGAGGC